rnacentral:rRNA from 1 species
GAGUAGUAAAGGUUAAAAUUCUGAAACUCAAAAAAUUUGGCGGUAUUUUAUCUUAUUAGAGGAACCUGUUUAUUAAUUGAUAUUCCACAACUUUAAUUUACUUUUAUUAUGUUACUUGUAUAUCGUUGUCAUGAAUCUAUUAAAAAAUAAUUUUCAGAAUUUUUUAUGGAAUAUAUGUUAGAUCAAGGUGCAGUUUUUAAAAGAAAAAAAUGGGUUACAUUAUUUAGUAUGAAUGGAAAUUAUUGUUAAUUUAUUAAUAGAAAUAGGAUUUAAUAGUAAAUAUAAUUAAAAGAUUUUUUAUGAAUAAAGAUUCUGAAAUAUG